GCCAGAGCCAUAUCACCCUGCAGCUCUGGCCUGGUUUUCCAAUGAAGCUAAGCAGGGUUGAGCCUGGCCAGUACCUGGAUAGGAGACCUCCUCGGGAAAACUAAGGUUGCUUUUGGAA
rnacentral:rRNA from 1 species